rnacentral:rRNA from 1 species
UACGGGGGGCAAGCGUUGUUCGGAAUUACUGGGCGUAAAGGGCGCGUAGGUGGCCAACUAAGUCAGACGUGAAAUCCCUCGGCUUAACCGGGGAACUGCGUCUGAUACUGGAUGGCUUGAGUUUGGGAGAGGGACGCGGAAUUCCAGGUGUAGCGGUGAAAUGCGUAGAUAUGCGGAGGAACACCGAUGGCGAAGGCAAUCCCCUGGGCCUGCACUGACGCUCAUGCACGAAAGCGUGGGGAGCAAACAGG